rnacentral:misc_RNA from 1 species
UCCGGCUUAUCACCGGCAGUUUCGUUAAAGUGCCCAGCCAAACCUGAUGGCAACUAACGAUGAGGGUUGCGCUCGUUGCGGGACUUAACCCAACAUCUCACGACACGAGCUGACGACAGCCAUGCAGCACCUGUGUGGAAGCCAGCCGAACUGAAGAAAGAUAUCUCUAUCCCUCAUACUUCCCAUGUCAAAAGCUGGUAAGGUUCUGCGCGUUGCUUCGAAUUAAACCACAUACUCCACCGCUUGUGCGGGUCCCCGUCAAUUCCUUUGAGUUUUAAUCUUGCGACCGUACUCCCCAGGCGGAAUGCUUAUUGCGUUAGCGACGACACUGAAGGAUCGCUCCCCCAACAUCUAGCAUUCAUCGUUUACAGCGUGGACUAC